UGACAUUUACGUCACACUUUUCCUACUAGCAAUGAAUCUCGCGGUCUCGCGACAAGCAGGCAAAUGCAUAAGUUUGCCGCUGUGCUCGUUCGCCCAUCCACCAUAAUUAACCAUCAGCAGCAGCAGCAACUACACAGCACACAGGCGUCAUCAUCAAGCGACGGUUGUCUUUACGCGAACCUUUACGUAACGCAUUAAGCGCCCGACGAUAGUGGCAGUUAGACGAUAAAGUCAUUCUGGGAUGGAGUUGAUGGGGGGGUUACAACGAAAAAAUCCGGGUCAACUGAAGUAUCGAGUACUGGAGGCCUGUUGUCGUCUACCAUCAACCAUAUCAACCGGGGUCGGAGAAAAGAUAGGGGCACAUCACCCCCACAUGCAUUAGCGAUGAGUACGAUGACAAGAGAGCAUGCCAACAGGUGUAGUACUUGCUGAUGAUGAUGGUGAUGGUGGCUGUAGCGUGCAUCGUGGCCUGCUGCAAUAGAUGCCAUUCAACACAACAACAACAACAAAACCUCUCCAUGUUUCGGACAUCGCUAACAGCUUGCCUUGCUUCGGAAAGAGUUCCAUUAAAACUAAAAUGAGCGUAAAAUCCCGGAAGAGCUCCAGGCAAUUACGCCAGCGCUGUACGACCAUUUUACCACCCGUUUGUACCUGUACCUGUACCCACCCGCUCUUGCAGUCCCAUCAGUGUCGAGAUGUCAACGGGGUGCCACAACACUCGGUCGACUUUUGAUACUUAAUUAUACCGCGUUGAUCCAAUUAAACCAUCACUGCCUUUCCCCUUUCCGGGUUGAGAGCGUUGAUUAUUGUCAACGGAAUGUGCAAACCAUCCAAAAGGAGAAGAAGAAUAUAUAGUGCAAAG